UACCCACGGCUCUUCCGUAGGAUAACAGAACUAGAGAGUCGAGUGUCUCCGGCCCCGCAUCCUAGAGAUGGGUGGGCAGCGCACCCAGCCCUGACUGUGGCCUCUGGCUAUGCCCUGCGUAUGCAGGCAUAUUUCUAAAAGUCUGAUCUAACAACUGAAAGGAGGUUCAGAUGAUGCCUUACUUUCUUGAAGGCCAAUCAAGAGGUCCACUUUGUUUGCCGAAAGAACACACUCAGAUCCCCAUCAGGCUUCCUCUCAAUUCCCUUGCCUCCUGCAUGGUCUGGAGCCGCCCUCCUGGGAUCCCCAGCUCCAGGAACUCUCAGUUUCCUGCCUAUUCCCUCUCGUCCGUCCUCCCUUUGCACCCCUGACCCCGCUUCUCCCUUCACAUUCACCACAUCCUUUGAAUUGGUAACACAGAGCCCCAUGGACUGGAGUAGCAGGCCAAAGAUCCUGUGAUUCCCCCAAAAUGUCCUUUAAUAAAGGCGGGUGGAGGAUGUGGCGGCCGAGACCUCGCAGUGCCAAUGACUCUCACGUGCUUCGCGUGUUGUCGGGGACUGUCACCCGCACCUCGAGGGGACAGCAUCCCCUCAGCCCUCCCAGGGCGGACCUCCUGCCUCCCCGACAGAAGCUUCCUCCUGGCCAUCUCCCCUGUCUCAUCUGUAAGUGCUUCCAGACCCUUCACCCACUCACCCUGUUGGCUCACUUUGUGUUUCUGUGCUCUGGACCGAUGUCGGCAGAAAGCAGCAGGACCGUCUGAAUGAGCUGAGGGCCAGCCUGGCAGCAAGAAUGUGCGAAGACAGCAGGGCCUGGGCUCAUGGCUGCCUCCUCUCCUCCUCAUGGCCAGGAUCGCUGCUCCAACACCAGCUCCCAUUUGCAGCCCUUUCUGCUCCAUAGAUUCCCUCUCCUUUACACGUUGUUGUUGCUCCAUUAGGUGACUCAGCCAGCUGUGCCUCAUUUCCUGCCUCCCACGACUCCACUCCAUGUGGCCACAGCCUCUGUCACCGUUCCUCUCAUGCCCAGCGAGGAUCCUCAUCACACAGGAUUUUUUGAACAGCUAGUUGUAUAUGUGUGUAUUCUGUGUGCCGAGUCUUCACAGAUUCUGAAAGGAAGACUUCAGAUAGAGUCCUAGAAUCCCUGCGGGUCUGUCGCUAUCCGCGGUGCUGAACCUACAAGUCCACACGUGGAUGCUUCCCGCCUGCAAGGGGAAAAUAAAUCAACCGAAUCUUUAGAUUUCGUAAGGACCUACAGACCUUGUAAACGCUAUCGAUCCUAUCCUAUGCUUAUGAACCAAACAACGCAGCCAGAUUUAAAGAAGCAGGUUUCCUUGGGCCAGGGAUUUAGCUCAGUGGUUUCGCCGACUGCUGCGCAAGCGCAAGGACCCGAGUUCAAUCCCCGGUACCAAAAAAACAAAAAAAAACCCCAAAACAAAACAAAACAAAAAUAGAGAAGCAGGUUUCCUAUAGAAGUUAUAACAAUGGCAUUUUGGAGCUCUCUUCCUUAGCAUUGUAUUCAAAAGCUGGAACAUUUCUUGUCCCAGAUUGGAUUCUUUUUUGAGCGAAUAGUAAAUGUGAUCACCAUUCCUAAGGCAGAGAAUAUGGAUUGAAAAUGACUCCUGGUACGAGAGCAGAAGCUCAGGACCCUGCCUGCCAAGGCUCCCUGUGCUGACCAGCUGUCACUUCUGCCAAGCAGGACUGCCUUACAGGGUUCUUGUGAGGAUCAAGAACUAACAUGCAGAAGAAUUUAAAAAUGAACUUCAACAUGGACCGUGUCAUGUUCUGUCAUUAUUAUUCCUCCUUUCCACUUGCUUUGAUAAGAUGAUUUAUGACUAAUGUACACAAAUUACAAAAUCAUGAUAGAAAUUUAGUAAGUGCUUAUUAUGUACCAGAAUUAUUAAAUUACCAAUUCCUUUGGAAAGCUAUGAUCUAGGUACUAUAUCAUCAUCAUUAUAAAAUGAAGCAAUUCACAGUCACAAUGGCUAUGCUGACUCCCCAAAGUUGUAUUUUUAAAACUCAGAUAAAAAAAGACUCAGAUUCAAG
rnacentral:lncRNA from 1 species